CUAGGGAGGAGUGCUUAUGGGGACAAUUGGGGGAAGCAGGACUGAGUUCUGAGGUACGCCAAUAUUUACAAGUUGAGUGGAUGAGAAACCUAUAAAGAAGAAUGAGAAGAAAUGAUAAGAUACAGUCUAGACUCCGCUGUUCCCUUUUUGCGAACCAGUCCAACUCCAUGAAGAUGAAAAAGACUCUCAUCCUUGGAAUCUGGCCACCAUACCAUGAGGAAGUAGCCAAAACCCAUGAAGAUUCUUAGUGAACAGCCAGCAUCAAUCACCAUAAAUAAUUAUCAAGGCCUUGGAGAGGAGAAGGAAGAAGAAAGGCACAAAUGCUUCAGAUUGCUCUCCUUUGACACCAAGGAAAUGAAUUAGUAAAUAGAGAUGAUGAGCUCUUGGACAGAAUAAAAGAUUAUGGUUGCUUUCAAAAGAAAUGUCAGAUUGCUAAAAUGACGGAAGCAUUUGAGAAUAAUUGUUACUCCCAAAGAAAAUAUACAUGUUUUAAAACCUAACAACUUCAAAGGUGAAGAUACCAAGUAAAUUGUCUUAACAAGAUUACAAAACUUAUACAAGAAACUAAUUACAUGACAUGGAGUGCAAAACUCACAACCAGGUUUUCAAUGUGGUCAGUCCUAAUAAUGAUAUUCCUGAGAAUGUCUUCUAUCUUUUUAAUAUUAUGAAUAUAAACACAAAAAUUUCAUAAGCACUUGGAUAUUAUGAAAUAAACCAGG